rnacentral:rRNA from 1 species
UAGGGAAUCUUCGGCAAUGGGGGCAACCCUGACCGAGCAACGCCGCGUGAGUGAAGAAGGUUUUCGGAUCGUAAAGCUCUGUUGUAAGAGAAGAACGUGUGUGAGAGUGGAAAGUUCACACAGUGACGGUAACUUACCAGAAAGGGACGGCUAACUACGUGCCAGCAGCCGCGGUAAUACGUAGGUCCCGAGCGUUGUCCGGAUUUAUUGGGCGUAAAGCGAGCGCAGGCGGUUUAAUAAGUCUGAAGUUAAAGGCAGUGGCUUAACCAUAGUUCGCUUUGGAAACUGUUAAACUUGAGUGCAGAAGGGGAGAGUGGAAUUCCAUGUGUAGCGGUGAAAUGCGUAGAUAUAUGGAGGAACACCGGUGGCGAAAGCGGCUCUCUGGUCUGUAACUGACGCUGAGGCUCGAAAGCGUGGGGAGCAAACAGG